GACGCACUACUGUGUACUGUAUCAACAAUGAAUUUUCCAUUGUCUCAAUGACAAAUUAAGAUUUGAACAUUUAGUUAAGGUAGGAAAGUUUUUUACUGUCUCUGUAACACAAGUUAUAAUUUCAAAACUGCUUCUGCUCUGAUUCACAAACAAGUCCCAAAGCUAUAAAGAUAUUCUUUAUUGUGCACAUUUUUAUCGCGAAACAACCCAUUCCGACAACUGUGCACGUUCAAAGCAUUAUCAGUUACAUGAGACCUGUUUGAUUGCGUAUGUACAAGCCAUAAACAAUGUACUUGUAACACUUGACUGUCGAUAAAACAAUUAAUAUUCUCUGAAACAUGCAUUUUUGUAGCCAAACACUGUUAUGUUGUGACCUAAAAUGUUGUGCACAUUUGUGAUGCAAAACACCUUAUUUCAAUUAUUUCACAUGUUCACAACUCUGUAAAUUACACAAGCUUUCGCUGGUUUAAUGUUUGCAAGGCAUUAAGCAUCAUAAUAACAGUAAAACAGGGAUGCCUGCGAAACAAGUAUGACCUUCAGAAUCAUUUUACAGUGUGCAAGAUACAGAUAGUGCGUUACAGUCACAACUACAUUAUAAAAAACGAAAGUAAAACGUUAUCUCGGUUUUAGGAGCUUUAUAAAAUUAUUCGAAGGAUUUGGAAGUAACAAAAAUGAAGAGACAACAGUUAUGUGAUUAGUACAAGCCCAGAUGUUCAAUUUUUGUUAACAUACAGCAGUAAUGUGUGACAGACGUUCCACAGCAGUGUUAUGGAGGCAAAAUCAGUUAUUCAUAUCAUAAAUUACCUUGAUCAAACAUAAAAAAAGAUAUGCUACGUAUUUCAUAUUUUGUAUGUUUAACAGAAUAAGCAAGAGGAAUGAAACAUAUGAACGCUGAUUGACUGGUGUUCUGUUCCUAUGCAUGUUUCAUCUAUUACUGUUUGUAGAUAUGUGCUCAGUUGUAUAUAAUGGAAAACUUCCAGACCAGAUUGUGUCUCAUUUUAUGUGUGUGAAAAUGAAUAAGCACACAAGCACUGAUAGGAUGAAGUUUUGCUUCAUUUCUUUCAAGAUUACUGUGAUGUGACCAGGCCAAGAUGUUAAAAUUUUGCAAGCAUACUGAUGUGGGUCAGAUAUUUCGCAGCAGAGCAAUAUGUACAUGCCAAGAUGCUAAGUUUUACAUGCAUAUUGAAGGAGUUGUUAUUACAAGCAUAUUGAAGUGAUGUGUGUUCCACAGCAGUAAAUUAUCGAAAGAAAAGCAGUAUUCGUUUUACAAAUACUUUGCAGUUAUCUUGAAUUUCAACAAACAUAAUGCAAUUUCAGCUUAAUCAUAGUAUAAGGCUGUAGACACUUUGCAAUGAAUUUCAGUAUCAAAAUGUCUUGCUACAUAUGUCUGAUUUUGUGUGUGUGUGUGUUACAGAAUAAGAAAGUGUAAGGCAGAAGUCAUAAAAAAUAUUAACACUAAUAGACUUAUGUGAACUAUGCUUCAUUUUUUUCAAAGCACAGUUGUGAAGUGUUGAUGCGAUUUGUACUAGCCAUAAUGUUCAAGUUUUACUAACAUACAGCAGUGAUGUGUGAUAGAUUUUCCACACCAUAUUUUUUGAGAGGAAAAUAUCAGGUAUUCAUUUCACAACUACUUUGCAGAUAUCUUGAAUUUCAACAAGCAUUAUGUUAUUUCAGCUUCACAUGUUUGAAUUGCAUAAAUACUCCAGAUAUGGCCUUAGUGUCAUAAAUACUCUAGAUAAGGCCUAUUCACAUUCAUUCAGACAAUUUGAAUGCUUUUCAGUCUUAUAUUUUUUCAUUUCAAGCAGAUAGAGUAGAGACAAGAUGCAAAUGACUAAGUUCAAAGUGAUGUGUGCAUGAGUUCAAAGUGAUGUGUGCAUCUUAAAUGAACAGAGACAGAAUUGUUUUUACAAUUCAAAAUUACAGACUCUUAUUUAGUCCAUAUAUAUAUGUAGUGAUUCUCAUUAUGAUAUCUGCCCACAGUAGAGGCAUCUGCCCGUAAAAGAGUCACUAUUGCUUAUUGUGUUUGUUGUCUUUUAAUAUGAAAAGUAUUAGCAGUCUACGAGAUAACGUUUUGUGCUAAUUUGUCUUUUUGAUGAGUCUAUAUCAUGUCCCGUACGCCCGCAAUUUAUGCUAUGCCAGCUUGUAUGCCAAGUACGCUGUCCUAAUGAAAUAAUGAGACAAUGGUAUUCACCUAUAUGAAUAAACAAUUUCACUCA
rnacentral:lncRNA from 1 species